GAUUGAGGGUGCGACUGGCGCGGCCGGGGUCACCGGCGUGGAGCAUGCGACUGACAUCGACCGCCUGGGUGUCUUCU
rnacentral:ncRNA from 22 species